rnacentral:rRNA from 1 species
GACGUAGGGAGCGAGCGUUGUCCGGAUUCAUUGGGCGUAAAGCGCGCGUAGGCGGCCUCGCAAGUCGGUUGUGAAAUCCCGGGGCUCAACCCCGGGACUGCGUCCGAUACUGCGAGGCUGGAGGUAGGUAGGGGAGAUCGGAAUUCCUGGUGUAGCGGUGAAAUGCGUAGAUAUCAGGAGGAAUACCGAUGGCGAAGGCAGGUCUCUGGGCUGACACUGACGCUCAUGCACGAAAGCGUGGGGAGCAAACAGG